rnacentral:rRNA from 1 species
UACGAAGGGGGCUAGCGUUGCUCGGAAUUACUGGGCGUAAAGCGCACGUAGGCGGUCUUUUAAGUCGGGGGUGAAAUCCUGGAGCUCAACUCCAGAACUGCCUUUGAUACUGGAGAGCUUGAGUCCGGGAGAGGUGAGUGGAACUGCGAGUGUAGAGGUGAAAUUCGUAGAUAUUCGCAAGAACACCAGUGGCGAAGGCGGCUCACUGGCCCGGUACUGACGCUGAGGUGCGAAAGCUAGGGGAGCAA